rnacentral:rRNA from 1 species
GCCUACGGCCAUACCACCCUGAAAGCGCCCGCUCUCGUCUGAUCUCGGAAGCUAAGUAGGUUAGUACCUGGAUGGGAGACCGCCUGGGAAUAACGGGAGUUGUAGGCU